rnacentral:lncRNA from 1 species
GAUAAAUAAUUGUUCAAAAGUUAUGAGGAGAUAAUUAACCCCUUUUUCAUCACACAUCAUCACUGGUUGUCUAAUAUUCUUAAUUUUAUAUGGAAAUUAAAAGAUUUAAAGUUGUAGUUUAAGUUUUUUAAAGAUUAAAUUAGUAAUAAGAGGUAUAAGUGUGAAUAGUAUUCCAGAUUUGUUUUUUCUUCAUUGAUUGUUGUUAUUCAUGCAUUUGAUACAUUGUAUUUGAAGUAAUCUCAUACCCCUAUUCAUUUUGUCAAACUUACAUGGAGAUCUUUUCGUGUCUUGAUUUGGACAAGUUGUAUUUUUAUACGACCGCAAAAAUUUUAAUUUUUUGGUCGUAUAUUGCUAUCACGUUGGCGUCGUCGUCUCCGAAACUUUAGUUUUCGCACUCUAACUUUAGUAAAAGUGAAUAGAAAUCAAUGAAAUUUAACACAAGUUUUGACCACAAAAGGAAGGUUGGGAUUGAUUUGGGAUUUGGUCCCAACAUUUUAGGAAUAGGGGCCAAAAAGGCCCAAAAGCAUUUCUGGUUUUCGCACAUAACUUUAGUUUAAGUAAAAAAAUUCUAUGAAAUUUGACACAAGUUAUGACCACAAAAGGACGGUUGGGAUUGCUUGGGAGUUUUUGUUCCAACAUUAGGAAUUAAGGCAAAAGGGCCUAAAUAAACAUUAUUCUUGUUUUGCACCAUAAUUAGUAUAAGUAAUAGAAAUCUAUGAAAUUUUAACACAAGGUUUAUGACCACAAAAGAAAGGUUGGGAUUGAUUUUGGGAGUUUUGGUCCCAGCAGUUUAGGAAUUAGGGGCCAAAAAGGGCCCAAAUAAGCAUUUUCUUGGUUUUCGCACUAUAACUUUACUUUAAGUAAAUAGAAAUCUAUGAAAUUUUGACAGAAGGUUUAUGACCACAAAAGGAAGGUUGGGAUUGAUUUUGGGAGUUUUGGUUUCAACAGUUUAGGAAAUUUUAAGGGGCCAAAAAAGGGCCCAAAUAAGCAUUAUGCUUGGUUUUCGCACAAUAACUUUAGUAUAGUAAAUAAAAUCAAUGAAAUAAACACAAGGUUAUGACCACAAAAGGAAGGUUGGAUUGAUUUUGGAGUUGAGUCACAACAGUUUAUGAAUAGCCAAAAGGGGCCCAAAAUAAGCAUUAUUUUGGUUUUGCACCAUAACUUUAGUAUAAGUUAAUAGAAACUAUGAAAUUUUGACACAAGGUUUAUGACCACAAAAGGACGGUUGGAUUGUCUUUGGAGUUUUGGUCCAACAGUUUAGAAUUAAGGGCCCAAAAAGGCCAAAUAAGCAUUAUCUUGUUUUCGCACAAUAACUUUAGUAUAAGUAAAUAGAAAUCAAUGAAAUUUAAACACAAGGUUUAUGACCACAAAAGGAAGGUUGGGAUUGUUUUGGAGUUUAGGUCACAACAGUUUAUGAAUUAGGGCCAAAAGGCCCAAAUAAGCAUAUUUUUGUUUUGCACCAUAACUUUAGUAUAAGUUAAUAGAAAUCUAUGAAUUUAAACACAAGUUUAUGACCAUAAAAGAAGGUUGGGUUUGUUUUGGAGUUUUGGUCCAACAGUUAGGAAUAAGGGGCCCAAAAGGGUCCAAAAUUGAACUUUGUGUGAUUUCAUCAAAAAUUGAAUAAUGGGGUCUUGAUAUGCCGAAUCUAACUAUGUAUUAGAUUCUUAAUUUUUGGUCCCGUUUUUCAAAUUGGUCUACAUUAAGUCCAAAGGGUCCAAAAUUAAACUUAGUUUGAUUUUAACAAAAAUUGAAUCCUUGGGGUUCUUUGAUAUGCUGAAUUAAAAAUGUACUUAAUUUUUAAUUAUUGGCUAGUUUUCAAAGUUGGUCCAAUGGGGGUCCAAAUUAAACUUGUUGAUUUCAUCAAAAAUUGAAUAAUGGUUCUUUGAUAUGCCAAAUCUAACUGUGUAUGUAGAUUCUUAAUUUUGGUCCGUUUUCAAAUUGGUCUACAUUAAGGUCCAAAGGUCCAAAAUUAAACUAGUUGAUUUUAACAAAAAUUAAAUUCUUGGCUUAUUUGAUAUAUGCUUUAUCUAAACAUGUACUUUGAUUUUGAUUAUGCCAGUUUUCAAGUUGGUCAAAUCAGGAUUCCAUACAAGUAUUGUGCAAUAGCAAGAAAUUUCAAUUGCACAGUUAUUGCACAAUAGCAAGAAAUAUCUAAUUGCACAAUAUUGUGCAAUAACAAUUAAUUUUCAAUUGAGUUAUCUUUCUUUGUAUAAAUAGUAGUUGAUAAUAUAUGUUGGAAUUUGCCAGACAUGACUAUGGUGUCAUUUUCUAUUUUUUAUUUGCAAUAAUUUAUGUAAAUAACUUCAUUGGAAAUUUGCCAAUAUAAAAUGUUGCUGAUGAAGUUUUUUUUUCCUUAUCUUAUCUAAAAUGUUUUUAGAUAAUAUAUGUUGGAAAUUUUCCAGACAUGACUAUGAUGUCAUUUUCUAUUUUUAUUUGCCAAUAACUUUAUAUAAAUAAUUCAUUGGAAAUUGCCAAUAUAAAAUGUUGCGAUGAAGCUUUUUUUCUUAUCUUUUCUAAAAUGUUUUAAUAAUGUAUGUUGGAAUUUGCCAGACAGACUCAUGUCAUUUUCUAUUUUAUAAUUUUCUGAUGUAUUAAAUGAGUGUUUAGGUUCAAAUCCAUUUAAAAUUUGAAUGAGAUGAUAGAUGAUGGAGUCUGACAUUGUUUGUGUAAAAAAACAUAAUGUCAAAAAAUUUGAUCACAAUCCAAAUUCAGAGCUGUAUACGCUUAAAUGUGUUGUCCAUACCUGCCCAACGUUCAGGGAUCGACUCUGCGUCGUAUAAAGCUGCGCGCCUGCGGAGCACACUGGUUGUUGGAUAUUUCAAUUCACUAAAAUUGGUACCCCAUGAAUAAAAGUACUUUCACAGUAUACUAAAUGUAAGAAAUUUGUAGCCCCAUUGCCAAUAUGUAAGACAGAAUUCGAAAUAUAAAUACUGCUGUCUGAUGACUAAUGACUUAUAACUUGUAAAGGAUGCUAUUUGGUAGAUUUGUAAUAUUGUUUUGGUUAUAAAAUUUAAGUUGCCAAAUAAAUGGUCUGGUUAUAUUUUUUAAACUCUGACAUCUUUUUAAACAUUUAUGAAAGAUUGUACUGUUGUAUUUUUACUCUAAGGAAUGUAGAGAUAUACUAUAGAUGGUAAAAUGUGAAACUUUUAUUAUGGCUGUGAAAUAAAAAAAAAAACACAUUCAUUGCAAAUCGUGCAAACAAUCAGCAGAAGGCAGUCAUUUAAUAUAUUAGAUAUUUCUUUUUUAAACAAGACUCACAAAAAUAAGAAAGAAUUACUUAUACAUUUAUUUUCUAGUAUUUCACAUUUAAUUGAAUGGUAUUCUUUCUAGAAUAACAGUAUAUUGCUGUCAUUUUAAUUUUUAUGUUCGAUUUGUUUCUUGAUAAAGUAUUGUUUUUACAUAAUUACAACAAAAGCAUUUUACCAUGUUGUGAUCAUGGAGAAAUAUUACAAAACAACAAAAUCAUAGGUUACAGUUAUUGAAAAUUAUUAUAUUGAAGAUUUUCCCCAUAAAUCAUGCUUAAAAAAUCACUGUUUGCAUCCAACCACCCUACUAUUAGAAAUUUAGAUAACUUGUGCUGUUACUGAAAAAAAAAAGACAAUUUUGAAGACAUCCCCAUCUACACAAAUGAUCUAGAUUCUUACUCUUCAUGUUAUUGUGAUAAAUUCAAAAUAACACUGAAACUCCUUUUUGAUAAGAUAUUUAAAUUUCUCGAUUUUUUUUAUGCCCCUAGUUUACUCUUAUACAAUUCAGAACUUGAUGAACAGUAACUAUACAAUCAUGUUUUAAUUAUCAUUGCUAUAUAUUGGUAAAUAAAUUUAUAUUGGGUUUUG